UCUGAAGAAUUAAAGAGGAGUCCUGCUGUGAAAAUGACUGAAUAUAUUCCUGUUUCUUUAUAUUCAGAAAUCAUUCUUUUUAAUCUUACAGACUAGGACACAAUUUUGCUGUCCAGUUUCAAAAUCACGGAUGAAUGUUGAAGAAAGCAGCUGAGAUGCAAAAAAAGUUGUGUGGGAGAAAGGAGAGCACAGAGACAGAUGGACAGACAGACAGACAGAGAGAUCUCAGCAGCAAGAAGUCUCAGCUAGACCAUGCAAGAAAAAGUGUUACUCCUGGCCUGAGAGUUUUGCUCAAGAAUGAAAUGCCUGUCAAUCAAAAAGUAAAACUAUAAAGGAUGGGUAGAAAGCCCAGAAGAUAUAAACCAAAUUUGAAAAUCACGACGCUUCAAUGAGAUAUAAGAAGUGAAGGGACAUUCGGAAAUGUGUUUUCUCACCAUCUCUUACUGCUGCUACAAGAGCUACUGACCGCAAAAGGGAGAAGAUAAUUGCAGGUGAAUCCACACUUUCCGUUCAGAUAUCGUCUUUGAGAAGCAACCAAGAAACCCUUUAGACUGCUGGGCUGCCAGAUCUAAUCUCCCUGUCUAGACUAAAUAAAAAUCCAUAAUUAUAGAAU